rnacentral:lncRNA from 1 species
GGCCUGUAAAGCCUACAUGUCUCUCCAAAAUAUGCUACAAGAUCAAGAAUAUCGGUACAGACGAAACAAGUGAAACGGACAUAGGCAAUCAUUCCCCCUCCCUGCUCUCUUAUGAAAGCGAGUGUAACCUCAGUAGUCCUCACCCAUAUCAUCCGUUUCUCGUUUUUUGCUUGCUGUCUCCUUUUUCCCCUCUCCUUCGAGGGUUUCUUUUCUUUUUUCCUUUUUCCUUUUUUUUUGCCCUUUAAAUUUUUAAUUUCUUUCUCUCUGAAACCCCUAAUUGUCUAUAUAUUUGUAAGAAGAUGCAACAGCAGAGGUUGAAGCAACAACAAGCAUUAAUGCAACAAUCUCUCUACCACCCCGGUCUUCUUGCUCCUCCUCAGGUUUCUAUUCUCUUUAAUAUUUUUAUUGGAUCGUUU